CAAGCAUCAUCUAGUGCAGGAGUCAGGUUAAGAUGGUGAUAAACCAACUCAAUUCCUUAUUCUUAUCACGACACCAGAGGGGAAGAGCGGCUGUUAAAAAUCUCUUGCAGUCAUAGAUUCACAAAUCUGAUAUAUAUAAAAUAUAUGAAAAGAAGUAUGCACAUCCUUUUCAAUUACAUCGGCCUUGUAAACCUGCACCAUUUCUUCUCUGAUAAGAUCUCAAUACUGUCAAAUUCAGAGAGACCCCACUUCUCCAAUAUAAAUUAUAGCCUUGAAAAACUCCUGUAAAGUGCAAACUAUUACCCAUUAUUGCAUCUUGACUUGUUAUUUAAAUUUCAUCAAAUUCUAAAUCAAAUUAAGGACAACCCAAUUUUGUAUCUGUAAUUUAAGGAACUGGGUUGUUGUUUCUCGCUUUUUUUUUAAUAUAUAAAUUGAGGAUAACCCAAGUUUGUUUGCAGAAUCUGUAGGCUUGGUUGUGCUCUGUUUUUUAUUGGCAAGUUAAUUAUUUGCACGGAUAAGAUUUUUCUCUGAAAAAUCAAAAGCUCUCCUCUGUUUUUUUAAUUUUUUGAAGGCGACACAAGCUUUACCAGAGGCCUCAAAUUUAAUGGUAUUGGAUUGUGGAAGCCCCAAGGAGACGCACAAAGACUAGGUUCUGUGGUAAGUUUUUAUGGGUAUAAAAUAAUGCGAUUUUGUUUGUUCUAUUUUAGCGAUUACACACUUUACAGAGACACGGAGGGAGAGAGAAAAAGACAGAGAGGGCGACAGAAAGAGUUGCCGAUACGUAUGACACGUAUAAUUUGUCUUCUAUUAUGACAAAUGUGUUGGGAUCCGUAAGAAUUUGUUUUUGUUCUUUUUGUUACCUUGGUAUCACUAGGAUCUAAUCUUUUCUGAGUUUGAAAAUGGUGCUCGCCUUGGUUAAUCUGUUGUAGAUGGGUAUAUUUCUUUGUAAUUAAUUUUACAAUUUUUUUAGAUAAUGGGUAUAUAUUUUUUUUUUCUAAAUUAGGAUUAUGGGUAGGAUUAGUUGAGUCUGAUAGAUGCCUUCUUCCUGCGUAGAACCAGAUGGAAACCAGUUCUGGACAGAGACCAUUUUUUGCGGUGCUAGAUAUCAAUCAUUUUGAUUUUUUAUAGGUGUAUUUUUUAUAUUCAUAUUGGGAGGUUCUGCCAGUUUUUGGGUUCCAACGAUUGGAUAUUUAUAGUUUUGUGCUUUUCUUCAGUUCGUUUUCUCAUCUUCUUAUUGCUUUAUCAUUUUGUUUCUGCUUCAGCUAUUAUAGUUUUCCUUCUUAACUCUCCCUGUCCUGACCUGUUUGCUGUUUGUUUCUUAGAUUUCAUCUAUGGUUCCUGCCGUUCUGUUCAAGCCCUUGUCUUGGGUUUCAUCUAUUGAGUAGUUCAACUUAGUUUCUGAAAUUUUCAAAUGGAUUUUGAGUGAGAAACAUUUCUUUCAAAAUUUUCCUUUUGCUGCCCAUUUCCAUGUAGCUUACUUUGCUUGAUCAACUGCAUAAAGUAAUUGGAUUGAAUCUUCUCCAUUUUUUUUCCUUGCAGUCUCCUUUGUUCACCUCUAUUGUUUAAACUUUAAAGCAGUUAUAUUGAAUCUUUUCAACCACAAUUCUUCAUCUUCUUCUGUCUCAGUGUAAUCAGCAGGUUUGUGGCUUCUUGUUCUUCAACUUUUUGAUGACCAAUUUAGAUUGCUUGAAUUAUUGUUAAUUCACUUUAUUGAUAUGGCUGCUGGUUAUUAUUCUCACAUGAGUUUUACCAGAAUGGAUUUCAUCCAGUUAGCAAGCAAGUCAAAGUGGAAGGAUUAGUUGAGGAGGAGGAGGUAUAUCUUUUGGGCCAUGGAGAAUUCCUAUGAAACAUGUAAAGGAAAUGGGCUGUUGGAUAACGGUCAUACAACUACAAGACACACUCCUUAUCAACCCAGCAUUAAGGUAUCAACACCUUGCCUUGAUUUAAGAGUGUUCUAUGUUCGUGUUAGCAAAUGUGAGAUUGAUGACUCAACUCCUGAGUUCCUUACAGUAAAUCACAUUCCAUUACACCCCGAUAUGCUUUUUGAAGUAAAUGGUAUUAGAAUUUCUGUCAACUCUGAUGGGCCAUCAAUCGUUCUUAGGAGGGAUAGGUUGGAUAAGAAGUCUGAAGAAGCUACAUUUGUUAGUACUGAUAGUAUAAGGAUUAAUGGGAGUGUGAAGUUUGAGGUUUUUGAUAAGGAUGUUCUCAUGUUAUCCGGCGUUCUUGAAAUGUGUAAUAGUAAUGGUCUUAUGGGGAAAUCAAGAGGCCAUGGCCAGAGAUGGAGCAUGAAUUGUGAAUCGGAUGUAACUGUAGGGACUAGCUUCCUGAAGGCAAAACAAUAUUUGGGUUCAGAUUCAGCUUUACCUACAGUUGAGGUCUAUGUUGCAGGAUCCUUCUCAGGCACUCCAAUUAUCUUAUCUAAGACUUUGCAGCUCUGUUUCUGUCAGAAGCAAAUAAGGAAAGGCAUGUUGGAUUAUAUACCAGAAUAUGAGGCAACUGAAGGCCUGGACUAUGUCUCAUCCAGAAUUCCUUUACAGGUAUUUCUUGAUUUAGUAUUGGAACUGCAAGCAAAACUAUCAUGCUUAUUGUUAAGAAUAUUUAAAAAAUUAUCAUAUAUUGUUCCUAAGAGAUUAAGAUUAAGAGAUUGUGUCUGAUUGGGACUUGGAAUCCUAUGAGUGUUAGGACAGUGAUCACGGCGACCAUCUCAGGAUCCUUAUCCAUAUAUAUAUGCUCGGACCCAAACUCGGGCAUUGCUACCCGUUACUCAUUCACUUGGUACUCGCCCAUAAGUAUCAUCUUUGUAGCUGUAGCAUCGCUAGCUAAUCCACUAGCUUCUUUUUGCUUGAGCAGUGUCUGCACUAUGGAUAUUAGAUACAGGAGAGAGAAACAGAGAGGGAGUCCAUAUGUUAAGAGAAAUACUACAUUAAAAAUGCACUGUAAGUGGGAUGUUGCUGUUUUUGUCCUGUUUUUUUACUAUAUAGAUGUUUUUAUAUAUAAGCUUCGUUUAGACUUAAGGAACCACAAACUAAAGAUCAAGGUCUUAUUUGGCUUUCUUAAAAGUUUCAUUGUAAAAUGUUGCAAGCAUUCUGCUUUAAUUUUAGUAUUAACAAUGCAGAUGUCAGAAUACUCGGAUCACAAGCCAGAAAAUGAAGAAGACAAUCACUUGUACUCAGGAACAGAAUAUCUAGAAGGUGAAGAUGGGGAACUCUCGUGGUUCAAUGCUGGUGUUCGAGUAGGUGUUGGCAUUGGCCUAAGCAUUUGUCUAGGAAUUGGGAUAGGCGUGGGGUUGCUGGUUCAAACCUGUCAAGGCACCAAACGCAACUUUAGAAGGCGGCUACUAUAAUUAAAGAUUUUCUUGACGCCAGUAUGGCAUUACACUUUAUAUUCUCCCACUUAUAAUGCUAAAGUUGACUCUUGGUGUUUGCAGCAAAUUAUGAUUUGUGAAUAAUGUCAUUAUCUAGAUGCAGGAAUGUGUAACUUUUAGCUAUUGCUGGUUAAGCGUCUCAUCUGAAAUAAAAGGCUACUUCUUUCGAACCAGUGUUUCAACCCUUGAUUGAGAGUCUCCCAUGAGUUCCAUAUGUUAGUGUAACAUGCUGUUUGCCUUACAUCAGUGUUAAGUUCUUUGAAUUUGUUUAUUGUAGUAAGAAGAGUGGCAAUAGCAAUGAAAUUUUGUUAAUGUUGUUAAAAA
rnacentral:misc_RNA from 1 species